ensembl:lncRNA
ACCUGUUUGAGGGGCUUUCCUGGUGGCUCAGAUGGUGAAGAAUCUGUCUGCAAUGCAGGAGACCUGGGUUCAAUCCCUGAAUCAGGAAAAUUCCCUGGAGAAGGGAAUGGCUACCCACUCCAAGUUUGGGCUUUGGAAUCAAACAGACAAGAGCACAAACCACAGCUCCACAACAUGUGACCUUGGACAAGCACCUUUACCUCUUCUCUACAUGUUGGUUUCCCUCCUUGUAAUAUGGGAUGGAGACUAGUAACUGCCUCCUCUGCUGGUAAAUAAGAUACAAUCCAAAGGCACAGAGCACCUGGCCCAGAGAGAUUGCUUCGUAUCUGCUAUCCAGCAUGGCCAUCUGAUGGGGCCUGGACCUGGCUAAUUGUGGGCCCUGCUCCUCCCUCUGCCUGAGCCCCCAGCAGCUUCUCUGACCCAGCUGGAGGAAGAAGCUCUGAUGGGCAUCUCCUGUCCGUGCACAUCAAGUUAUUUCUAGUUGAUUUGUUAUUGUGGUUGUUGUGGUUGUUAUUUCUACUAAGAACAUUGAGCUAUGAAUAAACUGUGCAUUUUUCUUGAUGAAUGUGGAAAAGAGAUUCUCUAGGGUGUACAUAAU